rnacentral:misc_RNA from 1 species
AACUACAGGUCAUAGAGGUUCUUGGAGUGAAGAAAGAAUAUCCACUUAUCUUCGUAGUUCCCGAAGACAUUUCUCCGAGCCCGAUUCAACUUAUAAAAAUCAUUUACUUUUAUUUUGUAUUUUCUCUUAGCUCCUUCUCUUUGCAGCUCUGGUUGUCUAUUUUUACAGCAGUAUUUUUGUUGGUAGUGCUUAGUUUGUGGUUUCUUGACUUUUGUAGGUUUGUUUUUACCAGUUUUUGUGAGGAAUUCUAUUUCUUUUUUAUUAAUAAUAUUCUUCUUGCUUAUCAAAAAGAAAAAUUACAUAUUUUAGUAUACUUCUUCAAAAUAAAUCCCAAUUUUGUUAUUGCAGUUUUUCAUUUUUUAGAUGAUCUUAGUCAACUUAAUUGCUCAUUGUUUUUCAGCUAAGCAAAAUUAAUGUUGGAGUGUUGCCUGUUCUAAAGUUUGCUAAUCUCAUAGGCUCCUGCCAUCUGUAUUUAAGUUGUUAAACUGAAAACUCUAUUAAGCUUUUAUUAGCUGAUACUAGUUAACUAAUGUUUAAGAUUAUUUUGUUUGUAUGUAUGAAUGGUUGUGUUAAUUGGCUUGCUCAAUCUGCUAGAA